AGUGAACGCUGGCGGUAGGCCUAACACAUGCAAGUCGAACGGCAGCACAGUAAGAGCUUGCUCUUACGGGUGGCGAGUGGCGGAUGGGCGAGGAAUACAUCGGAAUCUACUUUUUCGUGGGGGAUAACGUAGGGAAACUUACGCUAAUACCGCAUACGACCUACGGGUGAAAGCAGGGGAUCCUCGGACCUUGCGCGAUUGAAUGAGCCGAUGUCGGAUUAGCUAGUUGGCGGGGUAAAGGCCCACCAAGGCGACGAUCCGUAGCUGGUCUGAGAGGAUGAUCAGCCACACUGGAACUGAGACACGGUCCAGACUCCUACGGGAGGCAGCAGUGGGGAAUAUUGGACAAUGGGCGCAAGCCUGAUCCAGCCAUACCGCGUGGGUGAAGAAGGCCUUCGGGUUGUAAAGCCCUUUUGUUGGGAAAGAAAAGCAGCAGGUUAAUACCCCGCUGUUCUGACGGUACCCAAAGAAUAAGCACCGGCUAACUUCGUG
rnacentral:rRNA from 1 species